rnacentral:rRNA from 1 species
AUGAACGUUGGCGGCGUGGAUUAGGCAUGCAAGUCGAGCGAGAAGUCUGCCGCAAGGCGGGCGGAAAGCGGCGUAAGGGAGAGUAACGCGUGGAUUAUCUACCCCUGGAUCCGGGAUAGCUGCGGGAAACUGCAGGUAAUACCGGAUGAUGUCUCCGGACCAAAGGUGUGAUUCCGUCCAGGGAUGAGUCCGCGUCCUAUUAGCUUGUUGGCAGGGUAACGGCCUACCAAGGCUACGAUGGGUACGGGGUGUGAGAGCACGACCCCGCUCACUGGGACUGAGACACUGCCCAGACACCUACGGGUGGCUGCAGUCGAGGAUCUUCGGCAAUGGGCGCAAGCCUGACCGAGCGACGCCGCGUGUGGGAUGAAGGCCUUCGGGUUGUAAACCACUGUCAGGGGGGAGGAAAUGCCGGAUGGUAAUUCAUAAUCCAUUCGGUUUGACCUAUCCCUAGAGGAAGUACGGGCUAAGUUCGU